AGAACAAAAUAAUAUAAUCACACAACAAUAUGAUAUGAAAUGCUAAAUAUAAAAUAUAAAGUAAAUGACAUAAAAAGUAAAGGCAUAAAGGUAAAUGACUUUGAAGUAAAAGUUAAUACAAGUCAAUUUUUAGUAAAUGGUAUUAGCAAUCAAAUAUGAAAAGAUGUUUUGGUCACUUUUUGGAGAAUACUCAAUUAUCCACUCAC
rnacentral:lncRNA from 1 species